rnacentral:rRNA from 1 species
GAUGAACGCUGGCGGCGUGCCUAAUACAUGCAAGUCGAGCGAACGGACCAGAAGCUUGCUUCUCUGAUUUUAUCGGCGGACGGGUGAGUAACUCGUGGAUAACCUACCUAUCAGACUGGGAUAACUUCGGGAAACCGUAGCUAAUACCGGAUAAUAUUUUGCCCCUCAUGGUUCACAAGUGAAAGACGGUCUUUCUUUCACUUAUAGAUUGCUCCGCGCUGCAUUAGCUAGUUGGUAAGGUAACGGCUUACCAAGGCAACGAUGCAUAGCCGACCUAAGAGGGUGGACGGAUACACGGGAACUGAGAAAGAGUCAAGACACCUAGGGGAGGAAGCGGCAGGGAAUCUUACGCGAGGGGGGAAAGGCGGACGGAGGAAAGCGGGGUAAGGGAUGAAGGAGUAAGGAUGGGAAAAUGAUGUAAGUAGGGAAGAACAUAUGUGUAAGUAACUGGGAACAUAAUGACGGUACCGAAUGAGAAAGCCACGGCUAACUACGUG